UCCGCCGAGCUGCGGCGGGAACCCCGGCAGUGUGCUGAUGCAAGGAAAAAAAACUCUCUCUCUCUACUCCCGUAAGAAAAAACUCUCUUGCCUCUUCUCUCUCCUCGAUCCCCUUUCUUCACCUCACCGCGGCCGCCUGAUUCCGGUCAUCCCCGGAGUUCCACGCCGGCCAGAUCCCUUCCCCGAGGUCGCCUCUGCCCGCUCGACUGCCCCUACCGAACCCUAACCCACCGCCGCCCGACGGCAACCCAAUCUCCGGAUCCGGUGCCCGUGACGCGCCUCCCACAACCCCGCCGUGCGCCGCUUCCCCCGGCCACGGCUGCCGCGCGACGACGACGACGACGCCCUUGCCCUCCUCUUGCGCCUCCUCUUUGCUCCUCCUGCGCUGGCAGUGUAGCCGAGGCGUUGGUGGUGCACAAUGGUUCUCUUUGGGCCACAACGCCUGAGGUGGCAGCUGCGGAAGAGCAGCAGACCAAGAUUCCGAGGAAGGGAGCCGUCAUCAAAGGGAAGAUCAACAACGACUCGGUUGACAAGAAUGAUGACAUCGACACGGGGUUGUGGUGGCGGCGGCGGCGGCAACAACGACGACGAAAAUACAUCAACACGUGGCUACGAUGGUGACGAAGGAGAUACAUCAACACGUGGCUACGACGGCGACGACGAUGACGAAGAUACAUCAACACAUGGCUACCACUACUAGGGAAAACCUUAUACACAGAGGUAUAGCAGUAGCGCUGGUUAGAACAGAGCGCUAUUGCUAGUUACCCGUAGCGCGUGUCAACAAAGAGCGAUGCAGCUAUGGUUGUAGCAGUAGCGCGUCCGCAGGUAAAAGCGCUACUACUAUAAUUCCCACACGGGUGCCGGUAGGCUAGGAAUAGUAGUAGCGAUGCUGCAAAAAGAACGCUAUCGCUAAGUGCCUUGUAGUAGCGUGUUUUUUAUAUAGAGUGCUAUUGCUAAAAAAAGAAAAUAAAAUGGAAAAGAAAUAGAAAAGUAAAUAAAAAUGAAAGAAGUAGAAAAAGGAGAAAUGAAAAAGGAAAAUGUAAAUAAAAACAAAACAAAAACAAAAAUAAAGGAGAAAGGCAUAGCAGUAGCGUUUGUUGUCAGAAAGCGCUACAGUUACUCUAGCAGUAGCGCGUUUUGUACUCACACGCUAUUGCUACGUCCUUAGAUAAAAGGAAAAGAAAAAGGAAAAUAAAUAACUACUUUCUAUAGCAGUAGGGUGUUUUCGUAGAGAGCGCCUACCCGUGGUACUACUAUUUUGACUUAACCUCACGCGGCUGAAAAUUUUGCUAAGUCAUUUCCCUCCUCUUCUCCCUAUCCCCCAACUCCUCCGUUGAUGCCGUCGAUCGCCCUGCUCGAUCGAGGCCGCCCUUGACCUCACCGUUGCCGCCCUCGACCUCACCGCCGUCGCCUUCGACCUCGCCUCCGCCGCCCUCGACCUCACCGUCGCCGCCCGAGCCUGCCUAGGACCGCCCUCGCCGCAGCCGACCGCAAGGCUCUCCCUCUCCUCUCCCCCGCCCUCCUCUCUCUCUCUGUGCUAGGGCAAUUCAUAUGUUGCUGCUGUGAUGUUCAUAUGAACCCUAGGUGUUCAUAUGAACCCUAGAUU